UAUAUAACCCGCCCUACCAAACUUGUCUUCACAUUCACUUCGAACGAGUAUCUGCCACUAGCACCUUAAAGGAGUGAAUUUGCAUUUUUCCGGAAGCUAGACCCCAUCGCCUCACAAUGAAGGUCGUUGGAAUUGCUCUUGUUGUCGUGCUCAUCUCAGGCCUUAUCAGCUUUUCGUGCUCUCAAGAACACGAUAGUCAAGGACCUCACGUCAGAGUUCGUCGCGGGUUCGGGUGUCCAUUCAACCAAGGAGCCUGCCACGGUCACUGCAGAAGCAUCAGACGCCGGGGCGGAUACUGCUCAGGAUUCGCCAAGCAAACUUGCACCUGCUACCGGAAAUAAUGCAAAGCGAUGGCAAGCGCUGAUAGUUCCUCUAAUGUCAACAUGUGAAUACGGUUCGGACAGACUUCCUAGUCGCCGCAUAAUAUUUUUAAACCGGUCUGAAUCGGAACAACGGCCGCAACAAUUUAUUCAAUGUAAUAUAAUUUG